rnacentral:rRNA from 1 species
CUCAGGACGAAUGCCGGCUGAGUACUUAACACAUGCAAGUCGAACGGUGAUGGAGGGCUUGCCCUCCGGAUCAGUGGCGAACGGGUGAGUAACACGUGGGCAACCUGCCCCUCAGUCUGGGAUAACACCGGGAAACCGGUGCUAAGUACCGGAUACGACCAGACGCGACAUCGCGUCCGGUGGAAAGAACUUCGGUGAGGGAUGGGCCCGCGGCCUAUCAGCUUGUUGGUGAGGUAACGGCUCACCAAGGCGACGACGGGUAGCCGGCCUGAGAGGGCGACCGGCCACACUGGGACUGAGACACGGCCCAGACUCCUACGGGAGGCAGCAGUGGGGAAUAUUGCGCAAUGGGCGAAAGCCUGACGCAGCGACGCAGCGUGAGGGACGAAGGCCUUCGGGUUGUAAACCUCUUUCAGCGGGGACGAAGCGAAAGUGACGGUACCCGCAGAAGAAGCACCGGCUAACUACGUGCCAGCAGCCGCGGUAAUACGUAGGGUGCAAGCAUUGUCCGGAUUUAUUGGGCGUAAAGAGCUGGUAGGCGGCUUGUCACGUCGGGUGUGAAAACUCGGGGCUCAACCCCGAGCCUGCACUCGAUACGGGCUAGCUAGAGUGUUGCAGGGGAGACUGGAAUUCAAGGUGUAGCGGUGAAAUGCGCAGAUAUCAGGAGGAACACCGGUGGCGAAGGCGGGUCUCUGGUCAACUACUGACGCUGAGGAGCGAAAGCGUGGGGAGCGAACAGGAUUAGAUACCCUGGUAGUCCACUCCGUAAACGUUGGGCGCUAGGUGUGGGGAACCUUCCACGUUCUCCGUGCUGUAGCUAACGCAUUAAGCGCCCCGCCUGGGGAGUACGGCCGCAAGGCUAA